GAUGAAGAACGUAGCGAAAUGCGAUAAGUAGUGUGAAUUGCAGAAUUCAGUGAUUCAUCGAAUCUUUGAACGCACAUUGCGCCCCAUGGUAUUCCGUGGGGCAUGCCUGUUCGAGCGUCAUUUACCCCCUCAAGCUCCGCUUGGUGUUGGGCGUCUGUCCCGCUUCGCGCGCGGACUCGCCCCAAAGGUAUUGGCAGCGGUCGUGCCAGCUUCUCGCGCAGCACAUUGCGCUUCUCGAGGCACCGGUGGGCCCGCGUCCAUCAAGCUCACCCCCCCAGUUUGACCUCGGAUCAGGUAGGGAUACCCGCUGAACUUAAGCAUAUCAAUAAGCGGAGGA
rnacentral:misc_RNA from 1 species